CGCUUCCUCUGUGUGCCUUUGGAUCAUAGCAAUACAUGCGAUUCCUCUGGGAUUCUUUUAGUUUGUAACAUGUGCAACACACAGAGCAUUAGAAGAUGCUAUGUUGGAAAUGGAUGGCAUUGGAAAAGAAACACUCUCAUAUUAUUCAACGUACCUAGUAUAAUCCUUAUAUGUAGUCGAGAGCAGAUCAGAACCAUGAGCUCAAUUGCAUUCGGCCAUGGCAAAUUCAAUAUAAUGUUCCAUGGAAGUUGAACGAGAAAAUGGAGGCAGUGUAGAUUUGUCGGGCCGGCAGACCUCAGUGCCCAUGGAUC
rnacentral:lncRNA from 1 species